rnacentral:rRNA from 1 species
GAUGAACGCUAGCGGCAGGCUUAAUACAUGCAAGUCGAGGGGCAGCAUGAAUGUAGCAAUACAUUUGAUGGCGACCGGCAAACGGGUGCGGAACACGUACACAACCUUCCUAUAAGUGGGGAAUAGCCCAGAGAAAUUUGGAUUAAUACCCCGUAACAUAAUGAUGUGGCAUCACAUUAUUAUUAUAGCUACGGCGCUUAUUGAUGGGUGUGCGGCUGAUUAGAUAGUUGGCGGGGUAAUGGCCCACCAAGUCUACGAUCAGUAGCUGAUGUGAGAGCAUAAUCAGCCACACGGGCACUGAGACACGGGCCCGACUCCUACGGGAGGCAGCAGUAAGGAAUAUUGGUCAAUGGACGCAAGUCUGAACCAGCCAUGCCGCGUGAAGGAUUAAGGUCCUCUGGAUUGUAAACUUCUUUUAUCUGGGACGAAAAAAGGCGAUUCUUCGUCACUUGACGGUACCAGAUGAAUAAGCACCGGCUAACUCCGUGCCAGCAGCCGCGGUAACAC